UACGGAGGGUGCAAGCGUUGUUCGGAAUCACUGGGCGUAAAGCGCGUGUAGGCGGCUAUCUAAGUCUGAUGUGAAAGCCCUGGGCUCAACUCAGGAAGUGCAUUGGAUACUGGAUAGCUGGAGUACCGGAGAGGAGGGUGGAAUUCCUGGUGUAGCGGUGAAAUGCGUAGAUAUCAAGGAGGAACACCGGUGGCGAAGGCGUCCCCUCUGGCCGGAUACUGACGCUGAGACGCGAAAGCGUGGGGAGCAAACAGG
rnacentral:rRNA from 1 species